UUCUCCCUGUCUGGGAAUGCUUUUCUCUCUCCCUUCUCCUUUCCCUCCUUUGCCCCGCUCUGUCUCCUUGGCUCACUCGCUGAGAGCUGAGGGAUUGUGUGCAGAUGUGCCUGGAGAGAAGCCAGCCCUUCUGCCCUGGGAGAACAUGUGGUCUGGGAGUGUUUAUGCUGGCACUCUUUCAACCUGUCUCCCACACAACAUGCUGGCGUCUGUCUUUUUUUAAAUGACAAUGCACAAACCUCCUUUCACAAAAGGUGGAGGUGACACAAGGGUUUGCGGUAAUUGAGUGCACUGACAGACAGGAUGUACAGCAAGUUUAAAAAAAAAAAAAAAAAAGCAGACAAAUUUGCUGGCAGUAAAUAUGUUUUCCAGAAAAGCUUCAAGGGAGCAUUACUGAAAUGCAUGCAAUGCGUGGCUGCAAAACAGUUAAGUUACCACCACAGCAUUUCCUUGCAAACCUUCUUUUUAUUUAUAUUCAAGUUUCAUGCUUGAACUCAAAUUAAAUAUGCUUGCUUUAAACAGACAUCCAGAAUUUUCAAGCAUGUUUUUCACAGAUUCUCUGCAUACUUGACAUUCUCUCGUGUGAUUCGGGCUUUGGGUAAACAUCUGUAAGCUGAACACCCCUGAAAAGAAAUUCCUAUUCUUAACACUGGUGGCAGCAAAAUGACCGUCAGUUUGGGCAGCGAAAUGCACAGCUGUUGUUUUUAGUACCCAUGACUGACUGAGUGGGAGACAUCCACUGCAUUACCCACCAAACACUUAGAGAAAGAGUCAUUUAUGAGCAUUUUUCGCAUUCAGAGGCAUUUUAUUCUCUUUUUAAACAAGCGGUUCUUUAAUCGGACAUUUCUCAGAUGUUCUAUCAGGUAAAAUUUACCAACCAUUGCAAUAAACUGCUGGACUCUAUUUUGCUUUGUUAGUGAACUGAGUUAGUCUGCAUGCCUCUCUCGAAAUCUAAGUUUCUAGUGCCCCCUGUAGGUUUGGAUGGUUAAUGAACCUAUCCGGUCUUUUCACAAAUUGAAAUAAUUAAAAAGAAAAAAAAAGCUCUGUUUAAAAACAGACAAACAACCCAAAGAACAAAAACAACAAAAAAAAAAAACAGUCUGUAUGUUUUUGGAAAUGCGUUUAGUCUCAUUGCUCUUUGAGUAAAAUGGUGAUAUAUAUAUAUCUACAUAUAAGUUUUUAAAUGCAAUUUAAUUGUUAACUUUGGUAAAACAUAUCACAUACACAUAUAAAUACUGAACCCACACACACACACGUAUUUCAUAACAAUCGCAUCGAGUUGUCAUUUUUACGUGCCACCAGGGGGCAUGAUUUAGUAACGAAACCAGAGGUUGACGUCUCCCCCACCCCCUCAGGCUACACGAUUUAUUGCACUCAGACUUCACGCCUUUGACGUGUAACCUAAAUAAAAAUGUGAUACUGGGAUAAUGACGAGAAAACCGCGUUUACAUUUAAAGGCAAGGUUUUAUUUCACUCUUAAUUAUUUCUUCUACCUGUUUAAAGUUAAUUACCUUUAAGUUAUUUGGGGAGGGGGGUAUACUUUAACCCAGACGUUGCGUUCAGCACGUUUUAAAACAGCUUGCUGUUUUUCUAAAAAACCAAAACAGAACUUACUGCGUUACUCUAACUUUUUGGAGAAAGAAAAUUGAGCCAACAUGGCUUUAUCAGUAGGACAGCUGCAGCUCCACCUCUCUAUCCCACCUCCACGGUUGAUGAAAAAGCCCAUGAAACAGGAGGGAAAAAAAAAAAAAAAAAAAAAGAGUCGUGUUGGGGCAUGCGCAGAUGGGUCGUUUCCCUCUUAGUUAUCCUUUUUUUUUUAGAGGAGUCAGUCGUUACGUCACGGACUCAUCCACAGUGCUGGGGCUUGAGAGGCUGACCAUCCACUCAUGCUGCCACAAGCACAGGGAGACGUUGGCGCUUAGUCGGG
ensembl:lncRNA